rnacentral:rRNA from 1 species
AACGAACGCUGGCGGCAUGCCUAACACAUGCAAGUCGAACGAGACCUUCGGGUCUAGUGGCGCACGGGUGCGUAACGCGUGGGAACCUGCCCUUAGGUUCGGAAUAACUCCCCGAAAGGUGUGCUAAUACCGGAUAAUGUCUUCGGACCAAAGAUUUAUCGCCUCUGGAUGGGCCCGCGUUGGAUUAGCUAGUUGGUAGGGUAAAAGCCUACCAAGGCGACGAUCCAUAGCUGGUCUGAGAGGAUGAUCAGCCACACUGGGACUGAGACACGGCCCAGACUCCUACGGGAGGCAGCAGUGGGGAAUAUUGGACAAUGGGCGAAAGCCUGAUCCAGCAAUGCCGCGUGAGUGAUGAAGGCGUUAGGGUUGUAAAGCUCUUUUACCCGGGAUGAUAAUGACAGUACCGGGAGAAUAAGCUCCGGCUAACUCCGUG